rfam:Triticum aestivum genome assembly, contig: Triticum_aestivum_CS42_TGACv1_scaffold_405426_5BL
UAGCUACUCCCUCCGUCUGAGAAAACUUGUUCAUCAAAUGGAUGUAUCUAGCACCAAGUUAAUACUAAAUACAUCUAUUUAAGAGACAAAUUUGCGACAAGCUUUUUCAAACGGAGGGAGUACUUA